UCCGGUAACUAUAGGUUAAAAGGACACACUUGUAACCAUUCCGAACACAAAAGUUAAGCUUUAACCGCUGAGGGUAGUCGUAAAGGCGAGAGUAAGUUAAUACCGGGA
rnacentral:rRNA from 1 species